GGAACAUAUUCCAGUCUGUGCUAGAAAAACAGUCCUGUAGUUUAGCAUCUGCUUCAUCUGACCACUUUUUUAUUGAUCGAGUCACUGGUGCUUCCUGCUUUAAUUUUGCUUGUAAGCAAGAUUCAGGAGGAUAGAAUUAUUGUCAGAUUUGCCAAAUGGAGGGUGAGGGAGAGCUUUGUACGUGUCUCUGUGUGUGGAGUAAAGGUGGUCCAGAGUUUUUUCCCCUCUGGUUGCACAUUUAACAUUCUGAUAGAAAUUUGGUAAGACCGAUUUAAGUUUCCUUGCAUUAAAGUUCCCGGCCACUAGGAGUGCCGCCUCUGGGUGGGCGUUUUCCUGUUUGCUUAUGGCGGAAUACAGCUCAUUGAUUGCGGUCUUAGUGCCAGCAUCAGUCUGUGGUGGUAUGUAAACAGCUACAAAAAAUACAGAUGAAAACUCUCUAGGUAGAUAGUGUGGUCUGCAGCUUAUCAUGAGCAAAACCUCAGGCGAGCAAAACCUCAAGACUUCCUUAGAUAUCGUGCACCAGCUGUUAUUUACACAAAUACAUAGUCCGCAGCCCCUUGUCUUACCAGACACCGCUGUUCUAUCCUGGCGAUACAGCGUAUAACCAGCCAGCUGUAUGUUGAUAAUGUCGUCGUUCAGCCACAACUCUGUGAGGCAUAAGAUAUUACAGUUUUGAAUGUCCUGUUGGUAGUUUAAUCUUCCACGUAGGUCAUAGAUUUCAAUCCAAAGAUUGCACGUUUGCUAGCAGAAUUGAAAGCAGUUGGGGUUUAUUUGAUUGCCUAUGAAUUCUCUUAAGGCAGCCCCCCCCUCCGGACCCUUUUUUCCCCACCUUCUCUUCACGCAAAUGAUGGGGAUCUGGGCCUGUUCCCAGGGAACCAGUAUAUCAUUCACUUCAGCUCGUUGGACUAGUUAAAGGAAAAAAAGGAUUCUGCCAGUUUGUGUCUGAGGUCCUUCACCUUCCAACAGGACAACGACCCUAAGCACACAUACAAGACAACAUAGGAAUGACAAGUCUCUGAAUGUCCUUGAGUGGAUCAGCCAGAACCGGACUUGAACCCGAUUGAACAUCUCUGGAAAGACCUGAAAAUAGCUGUGCAGCGACACUCCCCAUCCAACCUGACAGAGCUUGAGAGGAUCUGCAGAGAAGAAUUAGAGAAACUCCCCAAAUACAGGUGUGCCAAACUUGUAGCCUCAUACCCAAGAAGACUCAAGGCUGUAAUCACUGCCAAAGGGGCUUCAACAAAGUACUGAGUAAAGGGUCUGAAUACUUAUGUAAAUGUGAUAUUUCUGUUUUUUAUUUGUAUUAAAUGUGCAACAAUUUCUAAAAACCUGUUUUUGAUUUGUGAUUAAUGGGGAUUGUGUGUAGAUUGAUGAAAAAAACGAUUUAAUCAAUUUUAGAAUAAGCCUAUAACAAAAUGUGGAAAAAGUCAAGGGGUCUGAAUACUUUCCAAAUGCACUGUAUGGAGACCAUUUGCUGCCAAAAAUAGAAUUGAAAUACAUGUAAAGGAAAAUAGUUAUAAUUAUAAUAAAAUGUUUCCUGAUCUUCAAUUUUAUAUAUUUUGUGUGACUAUCUGUUGUUCCAUGUAGUGAAUGUGUUAUUCAAAGCAUUUGUAUGGGCUAAUAGCAGUAAUGCCCAAAAUCAUUUUUCAUCAAAUAAUUUGGUUCUAUUUUUAUUUGAUAGUUCAAGGGGUCGUAAUAUUCUAAAUCAAAUAGCUAAAUGACCCUAGAUUUGAGCUUUAUUAUGAUGAUAGUAUUUCCAUAAAUUAAAUUGUGUACUGAAGCAUUGGGGGGAACUGUAUGAAGUGAAGGUCUUAAGUUAAACCAUUCUACUGCAAUGGUUUUACAAGUGUAAGGGCUAUGAAAUAAGGAUCAGUUACUAGUCGGAUUGUACAACACAGAAUGAAGCGUUUGAAAGUGUGUGGUUUUAUGUGUUGAUUUCACUUACUUUUAGUAUACAGUACCAGUCAAAAGUUUGCACACAUCUACUGUUUCAAGAGUUUUUCUUAAUUUUUACUAUUUUGUAGAAUAAUAGCAAAGACAUCAAAACUAUGGAAUAACACAUAUCGAAUCAUGUAGUAACUAAAAAAGUGUUAAACAAAUCAAAAUAUAUUUUAUAUUUGAGAUACUUCAAAGUAGCCACCCUUUCCUUUGAUGACAGCUUUGCACACUCUUUGUAUUCUCUCAGUCCGCUUCAUGAGGUAGUCACCAGGAAGGCAUUUCAAUUAACAGGUGUGCCUUGUUAAAAGUUCAUUUGUGUAAUUUCUUUCCUUCUUAAUGCAUUUUAGCCAAUAAGUUGUGUUGUGACAAGGUACGGGUGGUAUACAGAAGAUUGCCCUAUUUGGUAAAAGACCAAGUCCAUUUUAUGGCAAGAACAGCUCAAAUAAGCAAAGAGAAAUGACAGUCCAUCAUUAUUUUAAGGUCAGUCAAUACGGAAAAUGUCAAGAACUUUGAAAGUUUCUUCAAGUGCAGUUGCAAAAACCAUCAAUCACUAUGAUGAAACUGGCGCUCAUGAGGACCACCACAGGAAUGGAAGACGCAGAGUUACUUCUGCUGCAGAGGAUAAGUUCAUUAGAUUUACCAGCACCUCAGAUUGCAGUCCACAUAAAUGCUUCACAGAGUUCAAGUAACAGCCUCCAGGCUGUGUAAGGGCUAUUUGACCAAGAAGGAGAGUGAUGGAGUGCUGCAUCAGAUAACCUGGCCUCCACAAUCACCCGACCUCAACCGUAUUGAGAUGGUUUGGGAUGAGUUGGACCGCAGAGUGAAGGCAAAGAAGCCAACAAAUGCUCAGCACAUGUGGGAACUCAUUCAAGACUGUUGGAAAAGCAUUCCAGGUGCAGCUGGUUGAGAGAAUACCAAGAGGGUAUAAAGAUGUCAUCAAGGCAAAGGGUAGCUACUUUGAAGAAUCUCAAAUAUAACAUAUAUUUUGAUUUGUUUAACACUUUUUUUGGUUACUACAUGAUUCCAUAUGUGUUAUUUCGUAGUUUUGAUGUUUUUACUAUUAUUAUACAAUGUAGAAAAUAGGAAAAAUAAAGAAGGAACCCUUGAAUGAGUAGGUGUGUCCAAACUUAUGACUGGUACUGUGCGUAUUUUGAUAGAACCUCCUUUGAUAGUGUAAGCUAUAAUCUAAUGAUUACCUUAAUAUUUAACAAUCGCUAUCACAGAAGUGAUAAAAAGAGGGAGUGUAAUUGUACACAGUAUGCAUCUACUCUCACUCUUUCUUUGUUCAUGCAGGUGACUGUGAUCUCCUCCUCAGACCAAUUGGCAAAACACCCAGAAUAUGUUCUGGAAGUUGGGAUAGGAGAAAUUGCUCAGUGUCUUGGGAAACUGAGCCCGCGCUAUAACAGCCAGUCACCUGCAGGAACCAACCCUAUGAACCAUGCCUAUGUAGCUUUUUUGUGUAGCAGUAUAUAAGAGGACAGAAGGGACCGCCCUGGUGGAGCUGAUGGCAGACUUGUACUCUGUAUGUGUGUUGAUUGUAACCUCUCCAAUUAACUGAUAAUAAAGAAUGAUUCAUUUAA